CAGGAAAGCCAGCGAACAUGCUCUGGGGCAGCUCCCAGUAGAGCAGCAGUCAGGAUGGUCACGGAACAUGUUCCCAGACCGCGUCACAGGAGGGCCAAGGCUCAACCAAUACCUGCUCAGCAAAGUCUUCUCUGGCCAAAACAGCAUCCCAGAGUCCAAAACCAAGAGAUUCACUGAGCUUGUUGUGCCAGCGUCUGACCAGAUGAAAGUUUGUUCUAAGUGACAGAAAACUACUGGAGGAUGUGCUCCACCAAGACACGAGAGUAAACCAAGAAAGGAGAAAGGCAUUGGACCCAGAAAGGAACACAAGUUGAUGUCAAUUUUGCUUCAGAUACCCCUACCUGCUCUGCUGACAGGUCAAAAAUCAAGAAAAGACCAUGCUUCCUGACAGACCCUUUGGGAACCAAGGCAAUGGUCUCCCCACCCGACUAAAGGUUAGCCAGCAUCAGGGAGCAGGAUCCCCCAGGGCCAGUCAUUCAAUAAAGAUUUAAAUACCCCCUGUGAGCA
rnacentral:lncRNA from 1 species